AUCCUUUUGUGGUUCAUGAACAUGAUGAAUGGGUUUUCACACGUUUGUGUGAUAUGUGCCUCCCUUGAUCCUUGUUACGACGUGGGCACGUUACCCUUCUGAUC
ensembl:snoRNA SNORD13 small nucleolar RNA, C/D box 13